rnacentral:rRNA from 1 species
AUACGGAGGAUGGGAGCGUUAUCCGGAUUUAUUGGGUUUAAAGGGUGCGUAGGCUGUGCGUUAAGUCAGGGGUGAAAUGCCGUCGCUCAACGACGGAGCUGCCCUUGAUACUGGCGUGCUGGAGUACGGAUGCCGUUGGAGGAAUGAGUGGUGUAGCGGUGAAAUGCUUAGAUAUCACUCAGAACACCGAUUGCGAAGGCAUCUGACGAAUCCGUCACUGACGCUGAGGCACGAAAGCGUGGGGAUAGAACAGGAUUAGAUACCCUGGUAUUCCACGCCGUAAACGAUGAUGACUAACCGUCGGCGAUAGACAGCCGGUGGCCAAGCGAAAGCGAUAAGUCAUCCACCUGGGGAGUACGUCGGCAACGAUGAAACUCAAAGGAAUUGACGGGG